rnacentral:rRNA from 1 species
GCCAGUAGCCAUAUCAUGCUGCAACUCACAAGUAGCAGCCCACUGAAGCUCAGCAGCUGUGAGCCUGGUCAGUACCUGGAUGGGAGACAGGAGCAGUUCCCUCCUGGGAAAAACUAAGGUUGCUGCUGGAG